UCCAGUGAAUUGACUCUAUACAUAAGCACUAUAAUCUUCAUUUCUAUUUUAUCUCAUUUUAGCUCUUCUAUUUUAAAAUUUAAUAUUUUAUUAAAAAUAAAUUUAAAUAUUACAUUAAUUAAAAUAAAAUACAAUAAAUAAAAAUAUUACUAAUAAUUAAAAAUUAGGUAAAAAUAAUUUAAAAGGUUUAAUAUUAUAAAAUAAAAAAAAUCAAAAAUCAACAUUAAAACAAAAAAUAUAGAAAAAAUAAUAUAAGUAAAAACUACCCUAUCAAUCCGCCGCCCCACCCAUUUCAUUUUCUUUUUUUUCUUCUUCUCCCAGUCGUCCCCCUUUUUUCUUUUUCUUUUUCUUCAUCUUCCCCACCAAACCCUUUCUUCCUCUGCUCUUUCCUUCUCUCUUCUAUUUCUGUAUAUAUAUUUUUUAUCCGUGUGUACUCUGCAUGUGCCUGCCAUUUCUUGCCAAAACGUCUGACAACAUGGAAAGCACUAAGCACGAGUGGGGGGAGCACUCCAGUGCGCGGUGCUGCGCAGCGUGCCGCAUCGAGGCGACACCCCCCUCCCCGUGCUAUGGAUGCUCCUAUGCCUUUAUUGUUGUAAAAGAGCUAGAAGGGGGAGUUUCUCUUUUGGGUUCAGGAUGGAUGACUCCAUAAUUUGAAAAGAUACGAUCAACCUUGGUAUUAAGGGAGGAAAAGGAGCAUACGAUUAAAUAAUUAUAUGACUUGUGGAAUAACUUAUUGGGACCUUCAUUCCCUUCCCCACUAUAUGUAGAAAACAAUAUAUCUUUAUACGAAUAAUUAAUAAAUUAAUUAAUUCGCGAUUACAUGUGUAUGUGUAAAGAUUAAUUUAAACAUCUCUCACAUGGAGAUGGUGACUGAAUUUGGUCCUAUGUCCAGAUUGCUUGUAA